AGAGGCAAUUUGCAAAGUGACAGAGUCCAUGACACUUAAGUCAUCUUCAUACUUUUUGCCCAAAUAUUUACAAAGUCAAUAUUUAAUAAAGUCGAAACUUGCCACUAGGCUCACAGGAUUUAUUAUCGUUCCAGGAGUUAUAAUUGGCCGUUUUCUUGGAGGUUUAAUUGUUGACAAAUUGGAAAUUUCUUGUAAGAACAAAUUGAAAUUUAUACUGCUGACAUCUAUUGUAUCAAGUGUGCUUUUCCUAUUAAAUUUUUUGUGGAGUGUGAAACAUCAAAAUUUGCUGGAAUCAAUGAAGAUUAUGAUGGGUUAGGUAAAAUUAGAAGCCUCACAUCUUCAUGCAAUGAAAGAUGUAGUUGUACGACUUCUGUUUAUUCUUCUGUGUGUGGAAGAGAUGACACAGAAUAUUUCUCUCCCUGCUUUGCAGGAUGCAAUGCUGCUAAAGAACUAAACACAGAAAAGGAAAAGACAUACUACAAUUGUUCUUGCAUUAAAGAAGGGUUGACCACUCCAGAUGCCGAUGGACAAUUUAUUGAUGCUACUUCUGGAUCAGGGUACAUAUCUGAGGAAUCACAGCACAGAAUACUGACAGUGCGCCUCUAUGGUCACUGAGCAGUGGUAACAACACCCCAAAAUGGAUAACGGAGAUUCACACUGUCUUCCAUGACAAUUUUGGCGUAGUUGAAGUACUCAUGACCGUGGUCCAUGCCAUUACUGACAGACAGAAGACUAUGCUUGGCCAUUCUUGAAAGCUAUGGCAUGAUGAUCUUG
rnacentral:lncRNA from 1 species